GUGAGGAAUAUUGCGCAAUGGGGGAAACCCUGACGCAGCAACGCCGCGUGAAGGAUGAAGGCUUUCGGGUUGUAAACUUCUGUCGGGUGGGAAGAAUCCCCUGGGCGCUAAUAUCGCCCAGGGUUGACGGUACCGCCGAAGGAAGCCCCGGCUAACUCCGUGCCAGCAGCCGCGGUGAUACGGAGGGGGCAAGCGUUGUUCGGAAUUAUUGGGCGUAAAGGGCGUGUAGGCGGCUUGUUAAGUCAGAAGUGAAAUCCCCCGGCUCAACCGGGGAACUGCUUUUGAAACUGGCGAGCUUGAGUCCGGUAGAGGAAAACGGAAUUCCCAGUGUAGCGGUGAAAUGCAUAGAUAUUGGGAAGAACACCAGAGGCGAAGGCGGUUUUCUGGGCCGGUACUGACGCUGAAACGCGAAAGCCAGGGGAGCAAACGGGAUUAGAUACCCGGGUAGUCC
rnacentral:rRNA from 1 species